GAUGAAGAACGUAGCGAAAUGCGAUAGGUAAUGCGAAUUGCAGAAUUCAGUGAAUCAUCGAAUCUUUGAACGCACAUUGCGCCCGCUAGUAUUCUGGCGGGCAUGCCUGUCUGAGCGUCAUUUCAACCCUCGCCCCCGGCUUUUGCUGGGAGCGGUGUUGGGGAUCGGCCGCCCGUCACUGGGAGGCCGGCCCCGAAAUAGAGUGGCGACCACGCCGUGUGCUCCUCUGCGUAGUAGUAAAUCACCUCGCAGGCGGACAGCGGUGCGGCCUGCCGUAAAACCCCCAACUCUUUCUGGUUGACCUCAGAUCAGGUAGGAAUACCCGCUGAACUUAAGCAUAUCAAUAAGCGGAGGA
rnacentral:misc_RNA from 1 species